AGCAAAGAAUUCCAGCUCAAACAUAUUUGGAGACAUCAAAUUCAAGUUGUCACCUCAGUGUGACAAGGCAACUGCCUUCACUUUUUGGUGGAGUAACUGG